GGGGAAGGAGUUGAACGGCCUGGCCGAGGCGAGGCCCGCAGUGACUAGGGGCGAGGCGAGACCGGUGCCGAAGCUGGAUUCUCGGGCUUCCUCCCCUGCUAAGGCGAUGCGGCGCUUGUGAGGAGCUGGGCUCGCAGCCGCCCCCUCGGCAGGCCUAUGUCCGGAGGCACGCGUAUCUCGGGGGGCGAGGGAAGCGCCACCGGGGACAGACAAAUGAUGGUGUUCAAGCAACUUAGACUUCUUCUAUGGAAGAAUUAUAUCUUAAAGAAACGGAACAUCCUAGUAACAAUCAUAGAAAUCCUUCUACCAUUGUUGUUAUUGGGGAUUUUAAUUUGGCUUCGCCUGAUUAUUAAGUCAAAAAAAUUUAAUGCUAUCCUGUAUGAUAACCAGUUCAUUGAUGAUCUGCCCGUGUUUUUCAAAAAUCGUUCUACAGAUGACCUAUGGGAACUGGUUUAUAUUCCUUCCAACAGUGAAGUUGUGAAAGAUAUCACUGAGGAGGUGCAAAAGGCCUUACACAAAAAUUUAAGAGUUCGAGGCUUUCUCUCAGAGGAUGAUUUUAAGGAUUAUAUUAAAAAACAUGAUCAUUCUUCACAAGUGUUGGCUGCCAUUGUUUUUGACCACAUUUUUCUAAAAAGAGAUGACCCCUUGCCACUUAAGGUUAAGUAUAGUCUGCGAUUUCAUCAUUAUUCACAGAAUAAUCAGUUCAGCAAAAUUAUUCUUGGAACUUUGCAACUGACCUGGAAAACUAACAUACUUUUUCCACUCAUUCCAACCCUUGGGCCUAGAGAACCCACUUAUUCUGAUGGAGGAGAGCCUGGAUAUAUCAGAGAAGGAUUUUUGGCAGUGCAGCAUGCUGUGAACAAAGCUAUCAUGAGGUAUCAUGCACCAGAAGCUGCCAACAAUAUAUUUAACAAAAUCACAUUAAUUGUGAAGAGGUUUCCUUAUCCAGCUUUCUUUAUGGACCAUUUCCUCGAGAUUUUACAGCAUAUGCUGCCUCUGCUUCUUGUGCUGGCCUUUACUUUCACUGUACUGAAUAUCAUCCGUAGCAUUGUGCUUGAGAAGGAGAAAAAACUGAAGGAGUAUAUGCUAAUGAUGGGACUCCACAACUGGCUACACUGGUUUUCCUGGUUUCUUGUGUUUUUUAUUACCUUCUCCAUUGUUAUAUUUUUCAUCACUAUUCUCUUUCAUAUCAAGGUGAAAAAUGGUAUGGCAAUAUUCACCAAAAGUAACCCAGUUUUGAUAUUUUUCUUUCUGAUGUGUUUUGCAAUAUCCUCCAUCUCCUUUGGCUUCAUGAUCAGCACAUUCUUUAAUAAAGCCAAUUUAGCUGCUACUACAGGAGGUGUCCUCUACUUUGUUAUCUACAUCCCAUAUUUCCUUAUUGAACCUCAAUAUAGCUCGCUGUCUUAUAGACAGAAGUUAUUAUCUUGUCUCCUGUCAAAUGUUGCGAUGGCAUUAGGAAUUCUGCUCAUAGUCAACUUUGAAAAGAAAGGGAUAGGCAUGCAAUGGAAAGAGUUCAUGUCACCUAUUAAUGUAAAUGAUAACUUCACUUUAGGACAUGUGGUAUUAAUGCUACUAUAUGACUCUGUUUUUUAUGGUUUGGUGGCCUGGUAUAUAGAAGCUGUGUUUCCAGGAGAAUAUGGUAUGCCCCAGCCCUGGUAUUUCUUCUUGCUGCCUUCCUACUGGUUGAAGAAGCCAAAAAUGAUUUUAAAAGAAAAGGAGGAGGAAGAUCUUGAGAAAUCUCCACAGCAUGAAUUCUUUGAGUCUGACCCUACAGACCUGCAAGUAGGAAUAAAGAUAAAAAAUUUGUCCAAGACUUUUAAAAAGGGAAAAAAGACAAAAGAAGCUGUUAGAAACCUGAAUUUGAACUUGUACGAAGGGCAAAUCACUGUUCUCCUAGGACAUAAUGGAGCAGGGAAGACUACUACACUAUCCAUACUCACAGGUCUCUUUCCUCCUACAAGUGGACAAGUAUACAUUAGUGGGUAUGAGAUUUCACAGAAUAUGGUUCAUAUUCGGAAGAAUCUGGGUGUAUGCCCCCAGCACAAUAUCUUCUUUGAUGAAAUAACAGUUGCUGAACACCUUUCGUUUUACGCUCAGCUAAAAGGAUUGCCUAAGAAAAAAUGCCAGGAGGAAAUUGAUCAUAUCUUGGGCAUUCUUAAAAUGGAACCUAACCGCCAUGCUUUUUCAAGGACAUUGAGUGGGGGAAUGAAACGAAAGGUUUCCAUUGGUAUCGCUCUCAUAGCAGGCUCCAAGGUAGUGAUGUUGGAUGAGCCAACAUCUGGCAUGGAUCCAAUUUCUCGUAGGGCUACUUGGGAUCUACUUCAGCAGCAGAAAAGUAAACGAACAAUUAUGCUAACCACUCACUUUAUGGAUGAGGCUGACCUAUUGGGAGAUCGCAUUGCUAUCAUGGCAAAAGGGGAAUUGCAGUGCUGUGGCUCUUCACUUUUUCUCAAACACAAAUAUGGUGCAGGAUACCACUUGAUCAUAGUGAAGGAACCUAGAUGUAACAUUGAGGAAAUUUCCCAUCUGAUUCUUAAUUAUGUACCAACUGCCACAAUGGAAAGUAAUGUUGCAGCUGAAUUAUCAUUUAUCCUGCCCAAAGAAAGCUCAUACAAAUUUGAAUCUCUAUUUACUGAACUGGAAGAAAAACAGACAGAGUUAGGUAUUGCCAGCUAUGGUGUUUCUGUCACUACAAUGGAAGAAGUCUUCCUUAGGGUCAGUAAAUUGGUGGAUUCUAGCAUUGAUCUCCAAGCAAUCCAGCUCCCAACAUUGAAAUACAAGAAAAAUACAGAAGAUACAGAAGAUAGUGAAAAUCUUGAUGACUCAAGUGAAUUAGAACUGAAGAGUCUAUCUAAAAAGAAAUCUCAUGUGAAAUUAAAUACCGGAUUUUGUCUUCACUGCCAGCAGUUCUUUGCCAUGUUGGUGAAAAAGAUUAUGUAUAGUUGGCGUGAGUGGAAGAUAUUAGUCGCACAGAUUCUUUUGCCUCUGAUUUGUACUGCCCUAGGUCUUACAGCCAUCAACUAUUCUAAAAUUUCAGAUGCACCUGCUCCUUCUCUAAAAUUGUCCUUAAAUGUAUAUGGUAAGACAUUUGUGCCUUACAACUUCUCUGGAACUUCUCUGGAUCCAAAACUCAAAAAAAUCUUUCUUCAAACUUUGAAUAAUGAUGGACAUACACCCAUUCCAGUGACAGGCAACCUGGACAAAGAACUGCUUUCUAAGGCAAAAGAGAAUGAAAACUUUGAUAAUUAUUACCUUAUAGCAUUUUCCUUCAAACAAUAUGGAAAUCACACAUUAAUCACUGCUUUCUUCAACAAUCAGGCAUUCCAUACUCCUUCCAUAGUAGUAUCAGUUAUAGACAAUAUUCUAUUCAAGUUGCUUUCUGGCCCACAAGCUUCCAUUACUGUCUUCAAUCAUCCUCAGCCUCGAAGUGAAUUGCAAAUUAAAAAUGAUCAGUAUUUUGGGGGAAGCUUGGCAUUUGACAUUGCUAUCCACCUACUCUAUGGAAUGGGUUCAUUGGCCAGUACAUUUUCAAUCGUGGCAGUUAGUGAAAGAGUCAUAAAGGCAAAGCACAUCCAGUUUGUCAGUGGGGUCUAUGCUUUUAAUUUCUGGCUGUCUUCCCUGUUGUGGGAUCUCAUUAUCUUCUUCAUUCCCUGUUUGCUGCUGUUGGGGCUGUUCAAAAUCUUUGAUGUACAAGCUUUCGUUGAGGACAACCACUCUGCAGAUAUAUUGCUAAUAUUAAUGCUUUACGGCUGGUCUGUCAUUCCCCUCAUGUACCUAAUGAGCUUCUUCUUCAUGGCAAGUGUCACUGCCUUCAUAAGACUCGUCAUGUUCAACUUCUUCUCAGGAAUUGUCACCCUAAUCGUCCUUCAUAUCUUAAACAUAAAGGAACUCCAAUUGGAAAAACUCGCUAAAUUUCUGGAAAGAUUAUUCUUCCUGCUACCUAGUCACAAUUUAGGGAUGACCAUCAAAACUUUCAUCAACAACUUUGACACCAAGAAAUACUGUACUUCCUCUGAUCUUACAUUCUUUAAUUGUGAAAUUCUCAGUAUAAAAUAUGAAGAUGAUUUCUAUGCAUGGGAAACUCCAGGAAUUGGAAAAUUCUUGAUCUCACAGGUUGCCUCUGGCUUUUUUUUCUUCAAAUUGCUUUUAUUCAUUGAGGCCAACAUUCUCUGGAGAAUGAAAAUCCUACUAAGUCAUCUUUUUAGAGCUCGGAAUUGGGCACAAGUACAUAGCAAAGAAUCAGACUUUUCCAUAGAUGAAGAAGUAGAACAAGAAAGAAAGAAAAUUGAGGAAUCCUUUUCAGAGCUUUUGCAGAGUACUCCACUGGUUAUUAAACAACUCACAAAGGUAUAUGGCAGAAGAGUGCGCCUCCUGGCUGUAAACAGGAUUUCCUUAACUGUUCAGAAAGGGGAAUGUUUUGGAUUGCUUGGCUUCAAUGGAGCAGGGAAAACCACGACCUUCAAAAUGCUGACGGGGGAUGAAACAAUCACCUCUGGGACAGCCUAUAUUGAUGGCUACAACAUCAUUACCCACAUUAAAAAGGUACAACAACGAAUUGGCUACUGCCCUCAAUUUGAUGCCUUACUGGAUUACAUGACAGGACAUGAGACUUUGGUCAUGUAUGCCCGGCUUCAUGGCAUCCCUGAGCACCACAUUAAUAGCCUUGUGAAGGAUAUGCUGCAGGGGUUGCUUCUAGAAGUCCACUCAGACAAACUCAUCAAAACCUACAGUGGUGGCAAUAAGCGUAAACUGAGUGCUGGUAUUGCCCUAAUAGGAGAGCCCUCAGUCGUCUUCCUAGAUGAACCAUCCACAGGCAUGGAUCCUGUAGCCCGACGCUUGCUCUGGGAUGCAAUAACAAGGAGUCGUGAAUCUGGAAAAGCCAUUGUCAUCACCUCUCAUAGCAUGGAAGAAUGUGAGGCUUUAUGUACCAGGCUGUCCAUCAUGGUGAAAGGACAGUUGAAGUGCAUAGGCAGCCCACAGUACCUCAAAAACAAGUUUGGGAGUGGAUACACUUUGCUGGCCAAGAUCAAAAGCAGCAAUGAAAAGGACAACAUGACAAUAUUCAAAAAGUUCAUCGAAGAGACAUUCCCAGGCAGCAUCCUCGAGGAUGAGCACCAAGGGAUAGUUCACUACCACCUGCCUUUCCGGGACCUUAACUGGGCAAAGGUGUUUGGUAUCUUAGAAAAAAACAAAGAUCAAUAUGAACUGGAUGAUUACUCCAUCAGUCAGAUCUCCCUGGAGCAAAUCUUCAUGAAUUUUUUCCGCAUACAACAGCUUUCAGAAGAAGAAGGGUGAUAAGAGUAGCCACCAUCCUAUAAUGUUUCUUCAUAGUAUCAUCCCAUAUUUGUUUCACAAAAGGAAUUUGGACACAGAACUCAGUUCUGUGCCAAAAUGUGACCAGACCCCAAAUGAAAGCAAAUGUAUCUUAAGAUGAAGAAUGGAAAGUACCAUCUGGAAGAUGCAAUCACACGUGUGCCUCAGAUUAAAUUGUGUAUAAAAGUGUAGAAUAAAAUCUUAUUUUGAGA